ensembl:snRNA U1 U1 spliceosomal RNA
UUACUUACCUGGCAGGGGAGAUACCAUGAUCGCGAAGGUAGUUUUCCCCGGGCGAGGCUUAUCUAUUGCACUCCGGAUGUGCUGACCCCUGCGAUUUCCCCAAAUGUGGGAAACUAGACUACAUAAUUUGUGGUAGUGGGGGCCUGCGUUCACGCUCUCCCCUG